GGUUCUAAUUCCUAUUUCCUUCACGGCCAGCAUUUAUGUGCCAUGGCAGAGUGAAGUAAACAAUUUAUGGAUGACAACAGUUCUGAAGUCAGAGGAUAAGGAGAAAUAUUAUGAAGUUCAGGAUCACAUACUUAUUUUGAAAUUUCAAGGAUUUGCGACUCCCCCUUUUUGGGAAGGUACAAACUAUUUCACGUUGAAACUUGAAAGAAAGCUCAAUUCAUAUUUAUUCUGGAGGCUCAAAUUGAUGGUUUUUGUUUGGGCCGGCUGAUGGUUUGUGUUUGUUUACAGGUGAUUUUCUGCUGCUGCAUUGAACCAAUGGCAAAUUCUUGAGUCCGUUGGGUGCCCCAAGGUGUGCUGUGCCUACAACAUUUUGUGAAUGGGCAAUUUAUCCAUCCUGAUAUAACCUGUUCCAUUCUACUCGACCCUUGUGCUGAGUUCCAUGCUACCUUAGUGGCACUGUUCAGAGGCAUGAUUUGAUGGCUCAUGGUGAACAUGAGCAUUCAAUGUCAAGGAGGCAGAUGGUACAGGAAAAUUGGGCAGAACGAAUACCCCUCCUAGUUUUCUCAUACGAUGAGGGCUAAUGCCAAUUAAUCCUACUGAUUGAAUGGAAGAAUGGGAAAGAAUCCAAUCGCCAUUGAAGGUUUACAAAGUAUUUGCCUCAUGUCAAGUGAAGAAGCUGGUCCUUUUCAAACUUUAGCAAAGGCUUACUAGUUUUAUUUCAUUAAUUGAAAACAUAUACAAGUCAAAACACUUGCAGAAAGCCCAAUGACUGACAACUCAUUGGGAUGGAGCAGUUAUUUCUGAUUUUCAUUUAGGACAUUUUCUAUCAGCAUUGACAUAAACAGAACAACCUAUAGCAAGUAUCUUGGUCCUCUGAAUACACUAUAAGCCAAGAGUUUCCAGGUAUAAGAAACAGAGGAUCGUUGUUCAAGUACAAUGGUUUUUAUCUACAAUAGGUAUCAAUUUUAAAGUUGGAUUUUUUAGUUCUUUGCGUGAAAGAGUCUUGGCUUCAAAUCUUAUAAGAAGUGCCUUAUAUUCGUUUAAACACUGGUAAGUAGCUAUGAGAAUUUAAGUUAAUUUCUUCUAUUUGCAAUGAAAUGGGGAAAAGUAAAACCAUUGUUGAUUAACUUAAAAUAAACAUUAUUUGAUGAUUAUAUUAGAAAAUUUUUACAAAUCAUCAAGGUAAAGCUAAUAGAUCAAAUAAAUUAAUUAAUAACUUAAUUGAGAGAUAAGAUCCAAAAUUUAACUCUUAUCUUUAAUUCUCUUUUAUAUUAUUGUUUGUAUUGAAAUUCUAAUUAAAUUAAACAGCAAAUUAAAAAUUGAAAUAACUUCUAAUUUUUAUUGUUAGCAUAAUCUACCACUUUAAUCCACAAGCAUUAAUAUAAUUAGUAAGGAGAAAAGGUUUUUUUUUUUCUUUGUUAAUUAGAAUUUGAACCCUAUAAAAA